rnacentral:rRNA from 1 species
UACGUAGGCAGCAAGCGUUGUUCGGAAUUACUGGGCGUAAAGAGUGUGUAGGCGGUGCUCUAAGUUUGGUGUGAAAUCUCCCGGCUUAACUGGGAGGGUGCGCCGAAAACUGGAAGGCUUGAGUAUGGGAGAGGUAAGCGGAAUUCCUGGUGUAGCGGUGAAAUGCGUAGAUAUCAGGAGGAACACCUGCGGUGUAGACGGCUUACUGGACCAUAACUGACGCUGAGGCACGAAAGCGUGGGUAGCAAACAGG